GGAGCACAUAUGGCUCAGUGGUACAGGAUCUAAUUGGCAUGCAGAAAGUCCCAGGUUCGAUCUCUGGGAUCUCCA
rnacentral:tRNA from 1 species